GCCUUCGGGCAUUUGGUCAAUUUGAAACGAUACAGAGAAGAUGUAAGUACCAAUUUCAAGGUCAGACGUUCGAGCCCGGAAUCAGCCACUAACUUCUGCACAGUAGCAUGGCCCCUGCACUAAGGAUGACACGCUCAAUCAAAGAGAAGCUACCAAUUUUU
rnacentral:snRNA from 1 species